GACGAACGCUGGCGGCGUGCCUAAUACAUGCAAGUCGAGCGGAAUGAUGGGAGCUUGCUCCCUGAUUUUAGCGGCGGACGGGUGAGUAACACGUGGGCAACCUACCUUGUAGAUUGGGAUAACUCCGGGAAACCGGGGCUAAUACCGAAUAAUCCAUUUUGCUACAUGGCGAAAUGUUAAAAGGCGGCUUUUAGCUGUCACUACGAGAUGGGCCCGCGGCGCAUUAGCUAGUUGGUAGGGUAACGGCCUACCAAGGCGACGAUGCGUAGCCGACCUGAGAGGGUGAUCGGCCACACUGGGACUGAGACACGGCCCAGACUCCUACGGGAGGCAGCAGUAGGGAAUCUUCCACAAUGGACGAAAGUCUGAUGGAGCAACGCCGCGUGAGUGAAGAAGGUUUUCGGAUCGUAAAACUCUGUUGUAAGGGAAGAACACGUACGAGAGUAACUGCUCGUACCUUGACGGUACCUUAUUAGAAAGCCACGGCUAACUACGUGCCAGCAGCCGCGGUAAUACGU
rnacentral:rRNA from 1 species